rnacentral:rRNA from 1 species
CGGUGCCCGAGUUGUAAUUUGGAGAGGGCAACUUUGGGGCCGUUCCUUGUCUAUGUUCCUUGGAACAGGACGUCAUAGAGGGUGAGAAUCCCGUGUGGCGAGGAGUGCGGUUCUUUGUAAAGUGCCCUCGAAGAGUCGAGUUGUUUGGGAAUGCAGCUCUAAGUGGGUGGUAAAUUCCAUCUAAAGCUAAAUAUUGGCGAGAGACCGAUAGCGAACAAGUACAGUGAUGGAAAGAUGAAAAGAACUUUGAAAAGAGAGUGAAAAAGUACGUGAAAUUGUUGAAAGGGAAGGGCAUUUGAUCAGACAUGGUGUUUUGUGCCCUCUGCUCCUUGUGGGUAGGGGAAUCUCGCAUUUCACUGGGCCAGCAUCAGUUUUGGUGGCAGGAUAAAUCCAUAGGAAUGUAGCUUGCCUCGGUAAGUAUUAUAGCCUGUUGGAAAAACUGCCAGUUGGAAUUGAGACCUGCAACUAAAGCCAAGAAGGCUGGCUUAUGGGUUUUUUCCCCCCCGCCUUGAAAACACGGAACACAAUUUUUCUUUUUUUUUUUUUUUCUUUUUCUUUCUUCCUCUCUUUCUCCCUCUUU